rnacentral:lncRNA from 1 species
CGCUGAGCGCUAGUUUUUCCAUUGGCAGAACGCCGGGCGGAGGGUUUGAUUGCAAAGCACUUAAUUACUAAGAUCAGUUUGCUGGAACAUAUUGAAAAAAAAAAAAAAAACAAACAAAAAGAAUAAGUGCAAGCAAAACCGGAAAAAGCAAAGAGCCAUUUUACGGAUGCGGUCAUAUCAACAAGCACUGUCUUGAAGAGGAGGUUCAUUCGGACUCGGAGGAGGACUCGGUGGUCCCACUGUCCAUGUGGCAUCAGAGAGUGGAGCCCCUGCAGUGAUAGACAGCAUGCUGCAAAAGGGAUGUAUCUUGGGCUUAUCUUGAGAAAGGAUUGGAAAACGCAGAUGGUAUUCGGUGAGUCCCUGUGGACGACCGCCUUGUUUCCACUGGAAUUGCGGGAUGCUAACGGUGCCACAUGCAAAGAGACAGGCCCCCGCUGCGCAGCACAGAAAAGGGCCCAGAGUCGACCAGCCGAGCUAUUUUUAUUGCUCGUUUUUGAACGUGUGAAUUUGGCAGCGGCUGAUGGUCGCUCUGCUGUCAUCGGGUCUGAUGAACUGGAGACUGCAGAUGAGCGGAUUGUGACUGACAGCGUUGAUCACAGUGAGCCGAAAUCUGCAGUGUUAAGGAGGAGCUUGGUUUCCUGCAUCUUCUCAUCUUCUCGAGGCUCUGCACGUUCAUGUCCAUUUCUGCUGGCGUGGGAACUGUGCGAAUCCUUUCUUUUUAUCUUGAUUCAUGUAGAUAAAUACGCAGUGUUUUGGUUGGCAUCGGGAGGUGUCUGA